CUGAACCAGCCAAGUAGCGUGAAGGAUGACUGCCCUAUGGGUUGUAAACUUCUUUUAUAAAGGUAUAAAGUCGGGUAUGGAUACCCGUUUGCAUGUACUUUAUGAAUAAGGAUCGGCUAACUCCGUGCCAGCAGCCGCGGUAAUACGGAGGAUCCGAGCGUUAUCCGGAUUUAUUGGGUUUAAAGGGAGCGUAGAUGGAUGUUUAAGUCAGUUGUGAAAGUUUGCGG
rnacentral:rRNA from 1 species